rnacentral:sRNA from 24 species
GUCAGGGUUCUCUAGUGUUGUGCAAACCCCAUAGCUAGAAGCUAGGGGCUUGCGGAAUACUCCACCUGACCAGACUACUCGUUUAAGGCAAGAGUUAAGGACCCACUUCAGGAUGCUUGCUAGUUCUGAACCCUGGA